rnacentral:rRNA from 1 species
CGUCAGUCUUUGUCCAGGGGGCCGCCUUCGCCACCGGUAUUCCUCCAGAUCUCUACGCAUUUCACCGCUACACCUGGAAUUCUACCCCCCUCUACAAGACUCUAGCCUGCCAGUUUCGAAUGCAGUUCCCAGGUUGAGCCCGGGGAUUUCACAUCCGACUUGACAGACCGCCUGCGUGCGCUUUACGCCCAGUAAUUCCGAUUAACGCUUGCACCCUCCGUAUUACCGCGGCUGCUGGCACGGAGUUAGCCGGUGCUUCUUCUGCGGGUAACGUCAAUUGCUGAGGUUAUUAACCUCAACACCUUCCUCCCCGCUGAAAGUACUUUACAACCCGAAGGCCUUCUUCAUACACGCGGCAUGGCUGCAUCAGGCUUGCGCCCAUUGUGCAAUAUUCCCCACUGCUGCCUCCCGUAGGAGUCUGGACCGUGUCUCAGUUCCAGUGUGGCUGGUCAUCCUCUCAGACCAGCUAGGGAUCGUCGCCUAGGUGAGCCGUUACCCCACCUACUA